rnacentral:rRNA from 1 species
GAUGAACGCUAGCGGCAGGCCUAAUACAUGCAAGUCGAACGGUAACAUGUCUUUCGGGAUGAUGACGAGUGGCGCACGGGUGCGUAACGCGUAUGCAACCUACCCUUUACUGGAGGAUAGCCCGGGGAAACUCGGAUUAAUACUCCAUGGUAUUACCAGAUGGCAUCUGAAGGUAAUUAAAGAUUUAUUGGUAAAGGAUGGGCAUGCGUACCAUUAGCUAGAUGGUGAGGUAACGGCUCACCAUGGCGAUGAUGGUUAGGGGGCCUGAGAGGGUGAUCCCCCACACUGGUACUGAGAUACGGACCAG